rnacentral:rRNA from 1 species
CGGGGUGAGUAAUGCUGGGAAACUGCCUGAUGGAGGGGGAUAACUGCUGGAAACGGUAGCUAAUACCGCAUAACGUCGCAAGACCAAAGAGGGGGACCUUCGGGCCUCUUGCCAUCGGAUGUGCCCAGAUGGGAUUAGCUAGUAGGUGGGGUAACGGCUCACCUAGGCGACGAUCCCUAGCUGGUCUGAGAGGAUGACCAGCCACACUGGAACUGAGACACGGUCCAG